GUAUUUAAAUGUUUCUAUCAUAUCCCCCCUGUCUCGUCUUUCCUCCAAGCUAUACAUGUUAAGAUCCUUUAACCUUUCCUGGUAAGUUUUAUCCUGCAAUCCAUGAACCAGUUUAGUAGCCCUUCUCUGAACCUUCUCUAAGGUAUCAAUAUCCUUCUGAAGAUACGGUCUCCAGUACUGUGUACAAUACUCCAAGUGAGGUCUCACCAGUGUUCUGUACAAUGGCAUGAGCACUUCCCUCUU